GAUGAACGCUGGCGGCGUGCCUAACACAUGCAAGUCGAACGGUUAAGGCGGCUUCGGCCGCGAAUAAAGUGGCGAACGGGUGAGUAACGCGUGACCGACCUUCCCCCCGCACCGGGACAACCGCGGGAAACCGCGGCUGAUACCGGGUACUCCGGGGCCCCCGCAUGGGGGCCCCGGGAAAGCUCCGGCGGCGGGGGAGGGGGGGUGGGAGCGCGUCCCAUCGGGUAGUAGGUGGGGCAACGGCCCACCUAGCCGACGGCGGGUAGCCGGGUUGAGAGACCGACCGGUCACAUUGGGACGGGGAUACGGCCCAGACUCAUACGGGAAGCAGCAGUGGGAAAUUUUGCGCAAUGGGGGAAACCCGGACGAAGCAACGCCGCGUGCGGGACGACGGCCUUCGGGUUGUAAACCGCUUUCAGCAGGGAAGAACCUUUGACGGUACCUGCAGAAGAAGCCCCGGCUAACUACGUGCCAGCCGCCGCAGUAA
rnacentral:rRNA from 1 species